CUCUGCUAAACACACUUCAUCACCCCACAGUGAAGUUUGUGAAUCCUGCUCUGUAGAGUUGCUAUAGAAAUAGUUAUACACUUGUCAGCACACUUCAUGAAGCCAAUGAUCUAAUCCAAUAGACAUCCCUCCCCCCCACCACGAUUAUCAUCUUCAGCAACUCAUUCUAAUACAGACAACCAGGUAUUUUUUAUUACUUCAUGUUGCUUUAAUAAUGCAGCUUCAUAUCCCUGAGGAUGUCAAUAGCUGCAGUGAAAUUUGGCUUUCCAGAGCACACUCAUCAUAUUUUGCAAUGUUAAGAGCUAUUUCUCUGGCUUUGGGCUGCCCAGUGACUGUAGGAUGUGUCCAAUACUCUGCUCUAAAUGAGGAGCAACAAAGCCAUUAUCACAACUCCGUCCAGACAGAUGUAAAGAGUCUGUGCAGUUCUGGCGAGAACUAUGUACUGCAAGAAGAUCCACAGUUUCAAAUUUUCACAGAUUCAUCAGAAGGAAAAAACAGAACAGCUCCUCUUGGUGUUCUGCUCCUGCUAUCUAUUUCAAGCCAGAUACAUUAUUUACCCUUUACCUAAGAAGCUUUCACAACCUUGUCUCCCUUAAUAAAGUGAAACAAAAGACAUUACCAGGGCUAAAUGCAAAGACUGAGCAGUGGGGAUGACAUCUGGUCACUGUCUAAUUUUCAUGCAGCUGUACCAGCAAUUUUUUCUGUUGCAGCUAAUAUUCUUUGUGUCAGGCUGCAGUGAAAAGCACGAAGAAGGAAGGUGGGACAGAAAAGGUGUGAAAUAGCCAGACACAGAUAGAGGAAAAACAGUUCAAUUCUUCAGGAUUCAAACAAGUGAAGUGUUUUUAUUUAGAUUAAAACACAUACACAAAAAUGAAACAGGAACCUCAUUCCUCUCUUAUAGACCUGCAAAUCAAUAUACUCUUUGUAAUUGCCUUAAAAAUAUUAUGUGUCAUUUUGUUAGUUUGAGAGGAUAAAUUGCCUCAGAACUCUCUGCCCUCUUACUUUUGUAGUUUGUUCUAUUUUUUCCACCUAUGACUGCAAACUUCAAUUGAUGUGAAAUACGUGACUCUGAAAGUGACAGGGGAUUAAUUUCUUUAGUGAUUGGCUUAAAGAGAAAAAAGAACAGGAGCACUGAGAGUUAAAGCUAACUCCCUGUUUCAGGGAACUACUUUUCCCUGUAGUACAAGGAGCAUUUCUAUGAGCUUUAUUUCUUUUUCAAGAGAGCACAAAGAGGUCAGCAGAAAUCAGUAGCUAAUAUUAAAUUGCAUUUCAAAAUCUUAAGCUUCCUGUGCUAUAGAUUCAUCAUUUCUGUGGAAAAUUUGGUUCCUUCUGGCAACAUUAUACAUCACUCUGAAUACUGCUGCAGCAAACUGCCAAAUGAAGCAUUAAGGGCGCUGUAUAUUCACAUCUUUUGCUAUGGGGAAAAUCAAUGCUAACAAUUCUUCUUUCAGAGGCCAGAAAUUCCUCUGAAAAUGCUUUCCCUGCAGGUCUCCUAGGACCAUGCAAUCACAUACAUCUUUGGUAGAUUUGGGAGUGAUGUCUGCUUGUGCUAGUGGGGAGGAGAGGAAGCAAUGCUGUGUUUUCUAGGCUAAGCCCUAGCAGCGGGCUCAUUGCUUCUGACUGCACAAGGAGACAGAAGAGCUGACCUGGGCUGCUGUUUAGCAACAAACAAAAAGGUAUGACUAUUUAUUGUUGGAAAAGUAAAGGCUUUCACUCUCCCCACACAGGCCCACUCACCUCCCUUACUUUCUCUCAGAGAUAAAGAGAUGGUUAAGAUGGGAACAGGAGGUAGGAGCCGAUCCUGAUGGGUUUGGAUGAUUGCAUGUUUCAGAUGAUCAUCUGCACUCCUGUGAUUUCAUUU
rnacentral:lncRNA from 1 species